rnacentral:rRNA from 1 species
UACGAAGGGGGCUAGCGUUGUUCGGAAUUACUGGGCGUAAAGCGCGCGCAGGCGGUCUUUCCAAGUCAGUGGUGAAAGCCCCGGAGCUCAACUCCGGAACUGCCAUUGAAAACUGUAAGACUUGAGGACGAGAGAGGUGAGUGGAAAUUCCCCAGUGUAGAGGUGAAAAUUCGUAGAUAUUGGGAAGAACACCCAGUGGCGAAGGCGGCUCACUGGCUCGUAUCUGACGCUCAGGCGCGACAGCGUGGGGAUCAAACAGG